GUUUUAAUAAUUUAAUUAAAAAUAUUAAUUUUGUAAAUUAAAAAUGAAUAAAAGUCUUAAAACA
rnacentral:tRNA from 1 species